GACUCCGUGCUGAAUGGGGAGCAGUUGUUCGUGUAUCCACACCACGGUAACGCAGAUCCAUUUCUUGCAGGCUAACGCACCCAGCGGGAGCAGCAGUGAGGACAAAAGCGGGCAGGAGAUGAAAGGGGACGAGACGGAGGGAGGAACUUGCAGUGGGAAAUGGAACUUGCUCACUGGGGAGGUGAAAGCACUGUUGGACAUUCGCCCAAGAAACAACGACGUGGAUGCGCUAAUGAACCAAGUCAACGAAAUGCUGAAAACAGACGACAACCUAAACAUUGAGUCGAACUAUGAGAAUAUUGUAAAAGAACUCGAGAAAACCGGAGAGCUUUGGCGAGAUCCUGAAUUUCUUCCUGAGCCUUCGUCACUAACCUACGAGCACAUGGCCCCAGAAGGAAUCGAAUGGAUCCGCACGUUGGACCUACAUGAAAAUCCUUUCUUCAUGACAGACGGAGUCAGCAAAAGUGACAUCGUGCAGGGUGAGCUGGGAGACUGCUGGUUUUGGGCGUCAGUGGCUACAAUCGCCAACUACAGAAGAUUAACGGAGCGAGUCAUUCCAUCAGGUCAAUUUAUCACCGGCAGCUCUCCAUAUUAUGGAGUCUUUCGCUUCCGAUUCUGGCAAUUUGGGAAGUGGGUAGAAAUUUUGGUGGACGAUUAUUUGCCAACAAGGAUUGGACAACUUAUUUACGCCAAAUCCGAGGCCAGUAAUGAAUUUUGGCCGUCGCUUUUUGAAAAGGCUUUUGCAAAGUUGCACGGUUCCUAUAAAGCGAUUGAGGGAGGGUGGACGCUGGACGCGCUGACCGACCUGACCGGCGGCGUGGGGGAAAUCUACAGGUUCUCGGAGUACGCUGACCGGUACGAGGAGCUGUACGACCAUCUCGCUGCGGCCUCCAGGAAGAAUGCGCUGAUGGCCUGUGGAACUGGGAAGGGAGAUGGAAAGUCUGGAACUCAAGAUGGUUUAAUCGCCGGCCAUGCCUAUGGGGUGACUGCAGUAAGAAAGCUGACCACUCCAAGAGGGAGAGUGCCCCUUGUUCGGAUCCUAAAUCCAUGGGGAUCAGGGAAAAAGAUGGAAUGGACUGGGGAUUGGAGUGAUGAUUCCCCCCUGUGGGAUCAAAUCCCAACGUGGACCAAAGAAUCAUUUGGAUUUACCAAGAAGGACGAUGGCGAAUUCUGGAUGAAGUUCGAUGACUUCUGCCGAAAGUUUGCAAAUAUCACAGUUCUGACCCUGGGCCCUGACUUUGAUGGUGAUGGAGGUGCAGAUGCUGGCAGCCUGCAGGAGGUAACGGGCCAGUGGGUGGCUGGAAUCAACGCAGGAGGAAGCAGGAAUAACAUGACCAAGUACAGCUGUAAUCCUCAAUAUCCCAUCACCAUUGCAGAGAGAGAUGUUCACACCGACUUUGAUGAUGACCAAGAGGAUCGGGAAUGUUCUAUUUUAAUCUGUUUAAUCCAGAAUUACAGACGGACAAGCAGGAAGCUUGGACUCUUGAUGAGUCCCAUUGGGGUCCAGAUUUACAGAUCUUGCGAUCCUCUGAAGGUUUUAACUGCGAAACACUUCACACACGACGGGGAGGUUUCAGAUUCGGAAGCGUACGUGGCGCAGAGAAGCAUCACCCUCCGCUGCAAACUCACGCCGGGACAUUACGUGAUAAUUCCCAGCACCUUCGCGCCAGAAACCGACGAGGCUUUCAUGCUGCGCAUCUUCACUGACGCUCCGAUUCAGUCUCACCAGGGAUUCAACCUCGCAGAAGAAGCAGUGGACUAACCAUUCAAGGCCUGCUGAGAAGCGGCGAGUCCUACACCAACAGGAGGAAGAGGAACAACAUACACAGAGCCAGCAUGACAGAGCCAACACAAGGGUUUUAAAAUAUCAGUGCAAUAGCCAUCACAGUGGUUGCAAACAGGCUUCAGUGUGUGGAUAAUAUUAUAUAUUGUGUUUUUAAAGAGUCUCCGACACCUGCCUGUUUUCUUCAUCCACAAAGGAAAGGACUGAGGAUGCUGGUUUUCAUCGAAUCAUCACCAUCAUUGUUGAAACAUCAACGGGCACAGUGCCUUACAAUGCCGUGUACGACAGUGAUCGCAACUUCUACUGAAGUGUGGAUGGCCAUCGG